rnacentral:snoRNA from 1 species
GGCCUUCUGGUGAGUAGCACAGGCUGUGUUCUUACACUAACUGCACAGACAGAGGAGACAAAGUAAACCACCCCACAUACAGCUCAGCCCAGGUCCUGUGCCUGGUAUCUACUGUGAACAGGGGGCGUCCAGA